CGCUCCCUGCGGUGUUCGAUGCGGAUUGGAGAGUCUUUCGACCUUAAAUUUUGACCUUGGGGUUGUGUUCUGUCGGUAGCGUUGAGCAUAUCCAGUCUAGCUGGAUCGCCUGCAACUACCACGGCUUACCCCACCUUUCGCUCUGGUUCGAGAGCAACCAACUGCAACGGCACAGGCGGGGGGCGU
rnacentral:other from 1 species